ACCGGUGAUGCAUGGUGGUGUGUUUGUCAGUUUUGCUUGCACUGCUUCUCAUUCUCACACUUUAAUUCACAAGCCAAGGUUUUUUUCUUAAUUUAACAGCUUACAAAAGUAAGAAGAUUAAUAAUUUGUUGAGCUAUAUUUCAAUCACAAUUCUUAUCUAUGAUUCAUUUCUUUAAAGAGUUAUUUCCCUUCAUGAAAAAAAAAACCCAUUUUAAGCAUUUAAGAAAAAAAAGAAAUUAUGUACAGGCAUAGUGAUAUUGUUUGUUAUGCUAAAGUUAAUCAUUAGUAAAUACAGUUUUUACAAAUUAUCAGAUAAUUUAGAUAGAUGGCAGUAUUUGUUGAUGAAGGGAAAAAACUCGAACAAUCUAAAAAAUAUCUUGUUUCUCAUUGUAAUUUUUAAAGAUUUAAAAUUCACUUUUAAUUGUUGAAGAAUAGUUAUUGCAGUGUUAAACAUAAAUUUUGUGUGCGCUUAUUUCAAUUUAGAAAAGUUAAGAUACAAGCAAAUGAAAGUCAUAAUACACAAUAUUAAUAGAGUUCAAUUAUAUGUGAAAUCAUACCAUUCUCUAUAGAAAGUCAUUCAUCACUGCAAGAUAAACUCUGCUCCUUUUAUCCUUCAAAAAGUAGUUGGUCUUAAAUACACAUAAGCAAGAGGUGGGACAGGGUAGAUGGUUAAAACUUAGCUAGCACAGUUAUAUUUAUGAAAUAUACAUGCACUUUACCUCGUUCCAUAAUUGUAAUGGAGGUUGCAUUAUAGUCAACAAUAUAUCUUGGUGGUUGUUAAAUGUUGUACAAUAUAUCAUGUGUUAAGUUUUAUUAUUGAUGAUUUCCCAGUUAAAUAAAAACUGAUAAUUACACCUCUCUGACAUUAUUCAGCAAUGGGUGUUGUCAAGACAUUCUCAAUGACACUACUUCAAAACGAAAUGGAAAUACAUAGAAAAAGAUAUAGUUCAUUGUAUUCUAUUCUUUAUUUCCAUGAAAGUUCCGACAGUCAAUGUAGUGAAAAGAAUAAGUUAUCAAUGAAUUAAAGUAUUGAAAAAUAUUCAACUCGUUACUGAAUACCACUGACACACGCAUUCGUGAAUUAAACUAGGUGUUGUUCAGUCACUUGCUGAAUAUUUUUCUAUAUUUGAAUUCUACUAUUACCAUAAAUCGGGGUUUUAGUUUGUGUUUAAGAAUGGGCAUACUUUAGUUAGAUCUCUGAUUUCAUAAUUUAAAUUAGCUACUCAUACAUACCACAACUUUUGACAACACAGCAAUCAGUGACAUGAAAAAAUGUUAAUUUAUAGCUCAAUCUAUUAAUUGGUGUCAUAACACGAAUAUUUUACCUAUAAUGUGAAAAGAAAAUUAAAAUAAAUCACAUUUACACAGAUAUUUUUAUAUGCGUAAUGAUCAAAACCUUCAAUUUUAGCAUGCCCUAAUGCAUUUAUUUACCUUCCUUGAGAGUUCUCUGAACUAAGUGUAUUUUAGUUUGUAGUACUUAUAUUUAUUUGUAAUCGAUUACCUGUCAGUCAACCAAGUUUAUGUUGUUAAGAGUUUACAUCUAACAAUAAGAUACAGUUAUUUUUUCACGUUUAUUUUCACAUUCAACAUAAAUUAUACAUAGUGAAAAUUUAAACUGCCCAAUUUGUCAUCAAAUCGUGUAAAAAAGUGGACAUGAAAAAAACCCGAUAUAUGGUAGUUAUUCUAUAAUCAUAUAAUUUUGACCCAUUUGUCAGUCCUUCUGUCCAUUGAUAUUUUUUAUGCCCCUGUCAUAGCGGUGGGGGCAUAAAGUUUUACCCUUGUCGUCUGUACGUACGUCCCAUAAUUGGUUUCCGUUCUCUAACUUGAGUUUGCCACAACCAAAUGUUAUGAAACUUGUACACAAUGCUUAUUUCCAGAAAACACAGAUCAAGUUUGAAUUUUGGUGGUGUCACAUUAACCGUUCUAGAGUUAUGCCCCUUUAUAAAUGGAAAAAUUGCAAAAUUUUUAUUUUCUUCUAAAUAUUAAGUAAUUUUUAUACGACCGCAUAAAAAAUUUGAGGUCGUAUAUGGUAUGACGCUGGCGUCAUCGUCGUCGUCGUCCGAAGACACAUUGGUUUUCGCACUCUAACUUUAGUUUAAGUGAAGGGAUCUCUAUGAAAUUUUACCAUAAGGUUCAAUACCACAAAAGGAAGGUUGGGAUUGAUUUUGGGGGUUAUGGUACCAACAGUUAAGGAAUAAGGGGCCAAAAAUAAGCAUUUUUGUAACUUCCAGACAUAACUUGUGUGUUAGUGUAUGGAUCUCUCUGACAUUGUACCACAAGGUUCCAUAUCACAAAGGGAAUGCUGGGAUUGAUUUUGGGGGUAAUUGCCUCAAAAUUUUAAGAAUUAGGGGCUAAAAAAGGGGCAAAAAACAAGCAUUUUUCUAGUUUCAUGACAAUAAGUUGUGUGUAAGUGUAUGGAUCUUUAUGUAAUUGUACUACAAGGUUCCAUAUCACAAAGGGAAAGCUGGAAUUGAGUUUGGGGGUAAUUGCCCAAAACGUUUAGGAAUAACGUUUAAAAAUAAGCAUUUUUCUAGUUUCCAGACAAUAACUUGUGUUCAAGUGUAUGGAUCUCUCUGAAAUUGUACUGCAAGGUACCAUACUACAAAGGGAAGGCUUGGAUUGAUUUUGGGGGUAAUUGCCUCAAAAUUUUAGGAAUUUGGGGCCAAAAAGGGGCUAAAAAACAAGCAUUUUUCUAGUUUCCAGACAAUAACUUGUGUUCAAGUGUAUGGAUCUCUCUGAAAUUGUACUGCAAGGUACCAUACCACAAAGGGAAGGCUGGGAUUGAGUUUGGGGGUGAUGAAUCAUAAGGGGGUUCAAAAAAUGGGGGGGGGGAUUUUAUUUCCUUUUUUUCAUUUUUUUUUUCUUUAAAAUUUUCCAUUUUAAAUUGGUUAUUUCUGAUUUAAAUAUAAAAGCAAAUAAUAAUGAUAUGGUUUGAAUAGGUAAAUUAAAAUUUUUAAGUUCUUAGACCACAUUCAUUCUGUGUCAGAAACCUAUGCUGUGUCGAAUAUUUAAUCACAAUCCAAAUUCAGAGCUGUAUCAAGCUUGAAUGUUGUGUCCAUACUUGCCCCAACUGUUCAGAGUUUGACCUCUGCAGUCGUAUAAAGCUGCGCCCAGCGGAGCAUUUUAUUAAAAUUGGAGUUAUCUUCCUUUGUCCAUGAUUAUAGUUGAAUCAACUACAAUCAAUGCUUUAUACAAUGCAAUGUUUAAUUUUGACUUCCACUAAUAAAACACAGAUCAAGUUGAAUUUGGGUAGUGUCACUUUAACCAUUAUUGAGUUAUGCCCUUUAUAAAUCGAAAGAUUGCAAAAUUUUUAGUUUCCAUUCUGUAACUUAAGUUUGCCCCAACCAAACAUUAUGAAACCUAUACACAAUAUUCAUUAUCACAAGACUAAGAUCAAGUACAAAUUUUUUGUUUCCGUUUUCUAACUUUAGUUUGCCUCAACCAAAUGUUAUGAAACUUAUACACAAUGCUUAUUACUACAUGAUACAGAUUAAGUACAAAAUUUGGUGGCGACACUUUUACCAUUCUUGAGUUAUGUCCCUUUAUAAACAUAAAAAUUGCUGAAUUUUUCAUUUCCGUUUUCUAACUUUAGUUUGUCUCAACCAAAUGUUAUAAAACUUAUACACAACCGUUCUAGAGUUAUGUGUGUUUACAAAUAGAAAAAUUGCUGAAUUUUUAGUUUCUGUUCUCUACUUAAGUUAGCCUCAACCAAGUGUUAUGCGACUUACACACAAUGCUUAUUACCACAAAAUUUUUGGGUAGCAUCACUUUUACCGUUCUUCAGUUAUGUCCCUUUAUAACUAUAUGAUAUGCAAGCGGGGGCAUCAUCUGUGUCCACAUGUGGACACUAUCCACCUUUAUCUUUUCAUUAUGUUAACUCAGAUAUCUAUAUCACAUUGCAACCUUACUUGGAUUUAUGUUCACAUAUAAUGAAAGGAAAAUCCUUAUUGAUUUUGAUGUCAAUAAGUAAAAGGUCAAGGUCAAAGUUACUAUAAAUUGAAAAUAAAUUGUGCAGAGAAGUGGUAUCCAGUUGCUAAAUCAAAUACUUCAUAUGGUAUUGCAACAUAACUUGGAUUCGUGGUCACUUAUAAUGAGAGGAAGACUGCUAUUGAUUUUGAAGCAAAGGUCAAGGUCAUUGUUACUUAAAAUGACUUUUGACCAAUGGCUGUUAUUGUUAUAGUACUAAUUAUGUAAAUGGUUAAUUGCACCAUUUUUUUUUUUAAAUCUUUGAAUGCGACUAGAGCAUAUGGAACUGUUUAUAGAUAUCAAAAACUUUUUUUUUAAUACUUUUCUAGAUAUGCAACAGAUAGUUCUGAUACAAUUUAACCUGUGUGUAUAAUGAUGUCGCUAGGCACACAUUAUAAUGAAAGUUUUUUAAUUUCUAGAUAUGGUUAUGUGUGUAUCUUUAUCAAAUUAUGUUGGCAUAUUUUCUUUAUAAAUUUCAUACAAUGUGAUUUCCUCUGUGAUGUCUCUGUAAAGUUUCUUUUUUUUUGCUGCUAUUUUAUGUAUAACAUACAUUAUAAUAUAUAAUCGUUAAUGCUUACCAACUUCAUAAAACUGGUUUAAUUUGAGAAGCAUCAUUUGCCAGCUUUAUAGAUAUAAUGUAAACUAUUUGUGCACUUUUUACAAUGUAUUGUAAAUUUAUUGAUCAAUAUAUUCAAAUGAAAACAAAAUUGGUUUGAAAUUAAAUUGAUAAAUUGAAAGAACAUGAACCAAAAUUUGAUAA